UGAUGGCAUUUCUGAACGACCUGCCGGACUGGGUGCUGGUGGAGAUCUUCUCGCUCCUCCCGGUGCGGGAGCGGGUCCGCAAUGCCAGGGUCUGCCGCCGCUGGAAGAGGCUCUUGCGCGACCCCUUGAUGUGGCGACACGUCGAUCUGACACUCCAGGAGAUGCGCCCCAAGAUCAUCUGGCAUGUCCUCCGUCGCUACAUAGGGUCCAAGCUGCUGUCCCUGCACC